AGCGAACGCUGGCGGCGUGCUUAACACAUGCAAGUCGAGCGAAGGUGUUUCAAGGGUAACCUUGAGAUACACUUAGCGGCGGACGGGUGAGUAAUACGUGGAUAACUUACCUCUAGGCCUGGGAUAACCCCGGGAACGUAGGGCGUAAUACCUGAUAAGACCACAUUGUCUACGGACGAAAGGGGUAAAAGGUAGGCUGUGCAAACAGCUAUCGCCAAAAGAAUAGGUUCACGUCCCA
rnacentral:rRNA from 1 species